rnacentral:ncRNA from 1 species
UUCUUAUUCAGAGUGAUGGAGAUACAUAGGAUCUAUGAAGUCACGGCAACCCCUCUACGGAAGGUGCCUACCUGAGCGAGCAAAUAUUUGGAUGAUUUAUCCAAGACUAUAUUUUAUAGUUCGAACAAUAAGAG